UUUUUUUUUUUUUUUUUUUGAGAAAAAAAAAGGUGUACAGGUUUUCGGUGGGUGACCCUGGGAAGGGAUCUUUAGGGAUUGGAAACGGGGAGUUUAAGGCGGGGGCAUAUAUAGUGUAAAUGUUUUCCCUUUCACUCUUUUAUUCCACUAAACCCCUGUGCAUUUUUUAAGAUUUGGAAAUAGUUUUGGGGGGGAACCCUUUUUUUUUAAAUUUUAAAAAGGGGGGUAAUUCUUUCUAGCAGUAGUAAUAAUACAAUCUUGGUUCUACUACUAUUACUGGAACACUUUGCUUUUACUUAACAAACACUUUGCUUGUUCUUGGGAAUGUGUAAUGCUCCUUGUGAGGGAAAUACAAAUAUACAACUUUCAACAAGGGAUUUCUUGGCUCUGGCAUGGAUGAAGAAGGAAGGGAAAUGGGAUAAGUAAUGUGAAUUGCAGAAUUAAGUGAAUCAUGGAAUCUUUGAACGCCCCUUGCGCCCCUGGGUAUUCGGAGGGGCAUGCCUGUUUGAGUGUCAUGUAAUUCUCAAUCCUCUUUUUUCUUAAUUGAAGGAGGGGGCUUGGACUGGGAGGUUAAUAUAUACAUGCUGGUACUGUCUGUAUCGGCUCCUCUAAAAUGCAUUAGCUGGACUGUAGUUCGCAUUGUUUGGUGUAGUAAUAGUUUUCUAUCUAUAUUCACUACAGUGCUUGCUUAGACUGUCUGCUUCUAAUAGUCCGCCUAUAUGUCGGACAGGUACUCUGUUACCUUAAACCAUUUGACUCCUUGACCUCAAAUCAGGUAGACUACCCCACCCC
rnacentral:rRNA from 1 species